rnacentral:rRNA from 1 species
UACGUAGGGGGCAAGCGUUGUCCGGAUUUAUUGGGCGUAAAGAGCUCGUAGGUGGCCUGUCGCGUCGGCUGUGAAAGCUCGGGGCUCAACUCCGAGCUUGCAGUCGAUACGGGCAGGCUAGAGUUCGGCAGGGGAGACUGGAAUUCCUGGUGUAGCGGUGAAAUGCGCAGAUAUCAGGAGGAACACCGGUGGCGAAGGCGGGUCUCUGGGCCGAUACUGACACUGAGGAGCGAAAGCGUGGGGAGCGAACAGG